UACUGGUGAAAUGCGAUAGUACACGGAGUCUUCGGACAAAGUGAUAGUGUACCUAAAGGCUGCCAAGAAAAUCUUCUAAACUUAGAUUAUAAGUACCAGUACCGUAAACCGACACAGGUAGUUGAGGAGAGAAUCCUAAGGUGCUCGAGAGAUUCAUGGCUAAGGAAUUAGGCAAAAUGGACCCGUAACUUCGGGAGAAGGGUCGCCAGCAGCAAUGCUGGCCGCAGUGAAAAAAUCCAGGCGACUGUUUAUCAAAAACACAGGGCUCUGCAAAAUCGUAAGAUGAAGUAUAGGGCCUGACACCUGCCCGGUGCUUGAAGGUUAAGUGGAGAUGUUAUCUUCGGAGAAGCAUUGAAAUGAAGCCCAAGUAAACGGCGGCCGUAACAAUAACGGUCCUAAGGUAGCGAAAUUCCUUGUCGGGUAAGUUCCGACCUGCACGAAUGGUGUAACGAUCUGGAUACUGUCUCAGCCAUGAGCUCGGUGAAAUUGUAGUAGCGGUGAAGAUGCCGCUUACCCGCAGUGGGACGAAAAGACCCUGUGCACCUUUACUAUAGCUUAAUAUUGACCUUGGACACGUGAUGUGUAGGAUAGGUGGGAGACUGUGAAGUGGCGUCGCUAGGCGUUGUGGAGUCAUUGUUGAAAUACCACCCUUUGCUUGUCUGAGGCCUAACCCCGCGCUGCGGGGGACAUUGUUUGGUGGGUAGUUUGACUGGGGUGGUCGCCUCCAAAAGAGUAACGGAGGCUUCUAAAGGUUCCCUCAGCACGCUUGGUAACCGUGCGUAGAGUGCAAUGGCAUAAGGGAGCUUGACUGAGAGACAUACAGGUCGAUCAGGUACGAAAGUAGAGCAUAGUGAUCCGGUGGUUCCGCAUGGAAGGGCCAUCGCUCAAAGGAUAAAAGGUACGCCGGGGAUAACAGGCUGAUCUCCCCCAAGAGCUCAUAUCGACGGGGGGGUUUGGCACCUGGAUGUCGGCUCGUCACAUCCUGGGGCUGGAGAAGGUCCCAAGGGUUGGGCUGUUCGCCCAUUAAAGUGGCACGCGAGCUGGGUUCAGAACGUCGUGAGACAGUUCGGUCUCUAUCUACUGUGGGCGUUAGAAAUUUGAGUGGAUCUGAUUCUAGUACGAGAGGACCGAAUUUGACUAACCGCUGGUGUAUCUGUUGUUCCGCCAGGAGCACUGCAGAGUAGCUACGUUGGGAAGGGAUAAGCGCUGAAAGCAUAUAAGCGCGAAACCCACCACAAGAUGAGAUUUCUUUUAAGGGUCCUAGAAGAUGACUAGGUCGAUAGGCUAUAGAUGUAAAGGCAGUAAUGUCAUAGUCGAGUAGUACUAAUAACCUA
rnacentral:rRNA from 1 species